rnacentral:rRNA from 1 species
UAGUUUGAUCAUGGCUCAGGACGAACGCUGGCGGCGUGCUUAACACAUGCAAGUCGAACGAUGAACCGCUUUCGGGCGGGGAUUAGUGGCGAACGGGUGAGUAACACGUGGGCAAUCUGCCCUGCACUCUGGGACAAGCCCUGGAAACGGGGUCUAAUACCGGAUAUGACCGUCUGCCGCAUGGUGGAUGGUGUAAAGCUCCGGCGGUGCAGGAUGAGCCCGCGGCCUAUCAGCUUGUUGGUGAGGUAGUGGCUCACCAAGGCGACGACGGGUAGCCGGCCUGAGAGGGCGACCGGCCACACUGGGACUGAGACACGGCCCAGACUCCUACGGGAGGCAGCAGUGGGGAAUAUUGCACAAUGGGCGAAAGCCUGAUGCAGCGACGCCGCGUGAGGGAUGACGGCCUUCGGGUUGUAAACCUCUUUCAGCAGGG